rnacentral:rRNA from 1 species
UACGUAGGGUGCAAGCGUUAAUCGGAAUUACUGGGCGUAAAGCGUGCGCAGGCGGUUUUGUAAGUCUGUCGUGAAAGCCCCGGGCUCAACCUGGGAAUUGCGAUGGAGACUGCAAGGCUUGAAUCUGGCAGAGGGGGGUAGAAUUGCUGGUGUAGCGGUGAAAUGCGUAGAUAUCAGGAGGAACACCGGUGGCGAAGGCGUCCCUCUGGCCGGAUACUGACGCUGAGACGCGAAAGCGUGGGGAGCAAACAGG